rnacentral:rRNA from 1 species
GGAUGGGAGACAGUGUCAGGCAGGCAGUUUGACUGGGGCGGUCGCCUCCUAAAAUGUAACGGAGGCGCCCAAAGGUUCCCUCAGAAUGGUUGGAAAUCAUUCGCAGAGUGUAAAGGCACAAGGGAGCUUGACUGCGAGACCUACAAGUCGAGCAGGGACGAAAGUCGGGCUUAGUGAUCCGGUGGUUCCGCAUGGAAGGGCCAUCGCUCAACGGAUAAAAGCUACCCCGGGGAUAACAGGCUUAUCUCCCCCAAGAGUCCACAUCGACGGGGAGGUUUGGCACCUCGAUGUCGGCUCAUCGCAUCCUGGGGCUGUAGUCGGUCCCAAGGGUUGGGCUGUUCGCCCAUUAAAGCGGUACGCGAGCUGGGUUCAGAACGUCGUGAGACAGUUCGGUCCCUAUCCGUCGUGGGCGCAGGAAAUUUGAGAGGAGCUGUCCUUAGUACGAGAGGACCGGGAUGGACGCACCGCUGGUGUACCAGUUGUCUUGCCAAAGGCAUAGCUGGGUAGCUAUGUGCGGACGGGAUAAGUGCUGAAAGCAUCUAAGCAUGAAGCCCCCCUCAAGAUGAGAUUUCCCAUUCGAAAGAAGUAAGAUCCCUGAAAGAUGAUCAGGUUGAUAGGUCAGAGGUGGAAGCGCGGCGACGUGUGGAGCUGACUGAUACUAAUCGAUCGAGGACUUAACCAUA